ensembl:lncRNA
GUGUGAGGACAGGGAGGAGAGGAGACGGUGUGAGGACAGGGAGGAGAGGAGACGGUGUGAGGACAGGGAGGAGACGGUGUGAGGACAGGGAGGAGACGGUGUGGGGACAGAGAGGAGAGGAGACGGUGUGAGGACAGAGAGGAGACGGUGUGAGGACAGAGAAGAGACGGUGUGAGGACAGGGAAGAGACGGUGUGAGGACAGGGAGGAGAGGAGACGGUGUGAGGACAGGGAGGAGAGGAGACGGUGUGAGGACAGGGAGGAGACGGUGUGAGGACAGAGAGGAGACGGUGUGAGGACAGGGAAGAGACGGUGUGGGGACAGGGAGGAGAGGAGACGGUGUGAGGACAGAGAGGAGACGGUGUGAGGACAGAGAGGAGACGGUACGGUGUGGGGACAGAGAGGAGACGGUGUGCACUCUUCCAGGAAUAGAAAGACUCAGAUUGAGAACAUUAUCUCACCACACUGGAUCAUAUCUCUCUCUCUCUCUCUCUCUCUCUCUCACACACACACACACACACACAUCAUGAGAGGUUGUCUGUCAUCCACACCACUGCUCUUAAAUAGCCGCUGGCGAAGGACACACAUUUAUCACACACUGCUAAUGAACACACACACACAAUCCAUGCUAAUGAAUGUGUCUGCAGUCUGAGUGAGCACUUUUUGAUUAAUACGAGCUGUCAGAUGGAGAGAAGUGAACAUUCAUUCUGUUUGUUCAGCAGAGAGCGAGAAGAAUAAAAAGAAUAAAAUGAGAGCUGCAUUUAUACUACAGAUCAAAGAGCAGCAGAGGAGAGACGGG